CCCCCCCCCCCCCCCCCCCCCCCCCCCCCCCCCCCCCCCCCCCCCCCCCCCCCCCCCCCCCCCCCGGGCCGCGCAGGGGCGGGGGCCGCACACACACACGCGGAGGCACAGGGCGAACGGGGAGAGGCACAGCACGCACACGGACUGCAUGGUGCCCGCCGCCGGCACGCACACGCACACGCCGUGCGACACGGGGAGUGACCCCAAGGGACGCGGUGCCCGCGUGUGGGGCGGGCGUGCAGACCCACGCGUGUGGCGGGGGCAGAGCGCGCAGCGAGACCGCCUCCGGCCCCGGCGGCCGCACCGCGCCCCCCGUGACGCGCCCGCCACAUGACAGGCGCUCACCGAGCAGCGGCGGGAUGUGCCAUGGGACAGCGGCGGGAUGUGCCAUGGGACAGCGGCGGGAUGUGCGGGGACAGCGGCGGGAUGCGCGGGGACAGCGGCGGGAUGUGCCCGGGGACAGCGGCGGGAUGUGCCAUGGGACAGCGGCGGGACGUGCCCGGGGACAGCGGCGGGGUGCCCGAGGCGCAAGGCGUGUGGCUGACGCUUGCACAGGCUGUGCCCCGUCACCACCGAGGAGGCGGCGGUCCGUGGUACACUACAGCAGCAGCACGCUCAUGGCUGGGUGGUCUGCCCAGCACUCAGGAGCAUAGUAUUCUUGCUCAAGCCACAGCAGGUAGUGUGUAUCAACAUACCGCAUCAGUCAUGUCAUUCAUCCACACUUUACAAAAAAAUGCUUAAAUCCACACCUCCUGGAAGGAGAGGAUGCAACCUCAAGAUCACCAUAACAAGCUAAGCAGCUUCUGUACUUUCAGCCCAGACCCACGAAUCACUUUUAUGGCCGUCCUUGCUGUCUUAGACAAGUGCCUCAGUUAUGUUACAAUGUUUAUCUUCUCAGCAUACCAGAGAUGUAACUAUUUUUCUUGACAUUUUACAAUAGUGGACCUGAAACGUAGAGAAGACUCGAGAAUCUUUGAGAAGUAUAAACUGAGCCUGGUUUUGUGCUUUAACCCUGUGGAACAGGUUUAACAGUUUUAAAAAAAACUGUGGAACAGUUUUAACAAUCCUUUGCACAAGAGAUUUUUUGAGUGUAGAGUAUCACGUGUGCCUUCUGUUCUGCACCUCAGAAGAUACUCAAACUAUCCAAAUCCACACACAGUUAGAUAUUUGCAUUGCUCGUAUAAAUCAG
rnacentral:lncRNA from 12 species